rnacentral:lncRNA from 1 species
GAAAGGGUGUAUGAGCCAGAGAUAUUUUGAGUUUGGUAUAUAUUGAUAUAUUUGCAUUCAUGAACAUAAAUGCCAGAAGAGAGCUUACUAAUUCAUUAAAAUUUUUGACGAUCUAUCUUGGCAUGGGUGCGUCUUGCUUAUGAAGCACAAGUUCGAAUCGGUUGAAAUGUUUAAAUAAUUUCAUAAUGAGGUAGAAAAAUAAAUUGCAAAGAGUAUUAAAACUAAUCGGUU